AGCUAUUUAGCAGUAGGGGCUAAGAGUAGAGAUAGAUUGUAAAGAUAAUAGUAGGGUUAGGGUUAGGAUUAGGGUCUGGGUCAGAGUCAGGGCCGGAAGUAUGGUUAGAGGUGGGGUCAUGGUCAGGGUCAAGAUCAGAGUCAAGGUCAAAGUCAGGGUCAGAAUUAGGGACCAGGGUAGGGAUCAGGGUUUAGGGUCAGGGCCAAAGUCUAGAGACAGGAUUGUGGUUAGGAUGAGAACCAGAGCUUUGUUCUCCUCAGGACCCACCCGAGAAGAGGCCAUGGCUUGGAGCACCUGGUACAGGAUUGUGGUUAGGGUUAGAACCAGAGCUUUGUUCUCCUCAGGACCCACCCGAGGAGAAGCCAUGGCUUGGAGCACCUGGUAGUGUGUCCACAGUGAAGACCAGAGCUUCGUUGUCCUCAAGACUGACCUGGGGGGACGUGGCUGCGGGCCAGUGAGGAAGAAAGGUGAGACAACUUGAAGAGAAGGCCAGACCGGGAGCUUCCAGGUCAUAGACGGGUGACUCUCAGAGGAAGUCCUGUGUUGGAGACAAGCAUUCUGACCUGUAGCUGAUUGCAGGAGCUUUCAGGAAAGCAUCAGUGGGAAAUAAUAUCUAAA